GACGUAGGGCGCGAGCGUUGUCCGGAUUUAUUGGGCGUAAAGAGCUCGUAGGCGGCUUGUCGCGUCGUCUGUGAAAUCCCACGGCUCAACUGUGGGCUUGCAGUCGAUACGGGCAGGCUGGAGUUCGGUAGGGGAGACUGGAAUUCCUGGUGUAGCGGUGAAAUGCGCAGAUAUCGGGAGGAACACCAAUGGCGAAGGCAGCUCGCUGGGACGUUACUGACGCUGAGACGCGAAAGCGUGGGGAGCAAACAGG
rnacentral:rRNA from 1 species